rnacentral:rRNA from 1 species
GUGUUAAUGACGAUGAGGGUCCACCCGUUCCCAUCCCGAACACGGUAGUUAAGCUCAUUGGUGCCGAAGAUACUUGGCGGGAGGCCGCCCGGGAAAAUAGGAAGACGC